rnacentral:rRNA from 1 species
AACGCGUUGGCCCAACUGAUUGAACGUGCUUGCACGGACUUGACGUUGGUUUACCAGCGAGUGGUGGACGGGUGAGUAACACGUAGGUAACCUGCCCCAAAGCGGGGGAUAACAUUUGGAAACAGAUGCUAAUACCGCAUAACAAUUUGAAUCGCAUGAUUCAAAUUUAAAAGAUGGCUUCGGCUAUCACUUUGGGAUGGACCUGCGGCGCAUUAGCUUGUUGGUAGGGUAACGGCCUACCAAGGCUGUGAUGCGUAGCCGAGUUGAGAGACUGAUCGGCCACAAUGGAACUGAGACACGGUCCAUACUCCUACGGGAGGCAGCAGUAGGGAAUCUUCCACAAUGGGCGCAAGCCUGAUGGAGCAACACCGCGUGAGUGAAGAAGGGUUUCGGCUCGUAAAGCUCUGUUGUUAGAGAAGAACGUGCGUGAGAGCAACUGUUCACGCAGUGACGGUAUCUAACCAGAAAGUCACGGCUAACUACGUGCCAGCAGCCGCGGUAAUACGUAGGUGGUAAGCGUUAUCCGGAUUUAUUGGGCGUAAAGCGAGCGCAGGCGGUUUGAUAAGUCUGAUGUGAAAGCCUUUGGCUUAACCAAAGAAGUGCAUCGGAAACUGUCAGACUUGAGUGCAGAAGAGGACAGUGGAACUCCAUGUGUAGCGGUGGAAUGCGUAGAUAUAUGGAAGAACACCAGUGGCG